CCUAAUUACCGAAUUGUUGAUUCAGUUGCACGGCACUAUUUUCCGAUAUUGAUUUCUUCACAGAAGAAGGUCGUAUUAACUCAGAUUCGGGACAGCAAUGAUUUGUGCUCGUCUUCUGCGGGAGAAUGCGAAGACAUUACUUCAAUAAUAAGGAAUCUGGGUACUUCGAUACACAAAAACGAGCCCUGUCGAGUCCUAGUUCUACCUUUAUGCUGUUGGAUUUAAUCAAGAACAACUUCAUAAACGUUUUGCAGACGAUUGUGAUCGGUGGUUCGAUCAAUUGGAUGUUUCCCGGAUUCGUCACGACGCAGGUUCCGUAUCCACUGACGCUGUGCGUCAUGUCAAUGUUGCAACGGGGCAUAGAGCUGGCCUCACUCAAUGCCGCCUGGGUUUCGCCAGCUUCGUGAUAUCUCCCGAAUGUGUUUGGCUUAGAAGUAAUUACACGCUGGUCCUGGGAGAUUAUAAUGCCAUGGAUCAGACCCAAUCGAUGCAGGAUUAGAUGUCGAUAGUUUAGAUAGUUCAAUAAAUAAUUUAAAUAGUUUAAACAGUUCAAUAAAUGAAUAAAGAUGCA